rnacentral:rRNA from 1 species
GACGAACGCUGGCGGCGUGCUUAACACAUGCAAGUCGAACGGAAAGGCCCUGCUUUUGUGGGGUGCUCGAGUGGCGAACGGGUGAGUAACACGUGAGUAACCUGCCCUUGACUUUGGGAUAACUUCAGGAAACUGGGGCUAAUCUCGGAUAGCAGCUCCUGCUGCAGGGUGGGGGUGGGAAAGUUUCGGCUGUCGGGGAUGGACUCGCGGCUUAUCAGCUUGUUGGUGGGGUAGUGGCUGACCAAGGCUUUGACGGGUAGCCGGCCUGAGAGGGUGACCGGCCACAUUGGGACUGAGAUACGGCCCAGACUCCUACGGGAGGCAGCAGUGGGGAAUAUUGCACAAUGGGCGGAAGCCUGAUGCAGCAACGCCGCGUGCGGGAUGACGGCCUUCGGGUUGUAAACCGCUUUCGCCUGUGACGAAGCGUGAGUGACGGUAAUGGGUAAAGAAGCACCGGCUAACUACGUG